AUUGAACGCUGGCGGCAGGCUUAACACAUGCAAGUCGAGCGGAGUGAUGGUGCUUGCACUAUCACUUAGCGGCGGACGGGUGAGUAAUGCUUAGGAAUCUGCCUAUUAGUGGGGGACAACAUCUCGAAAGGGAUGCUAAUACCGCAUACGUCCUACGGGAGAAAGCAGGGGAUCACUUGUGACCUUGCGCUAAUAGAUGAGCCUAAGUCGGAUUAGCUAGUUGGUGGGGUAAGGCCUACCAAGGCGACGAUCUGUAGCGGGUCUGAGAGGAUGAUCCGCCACACUGGGACUGAGACACGGCCCAGACUCCUACGGGAGGCAGCAGUGGGGAAUAUUGGACAAUGGGGGGAACCCUGAUCCAGCCAUGCCGCGUGUGUGAAGAAGGCCUUAUGGUUGUAAAGCACUUUAAGCGAGGAGGAGGCUCUUUUGGUUAAUACCCAAGAUGAGUGGACGUUACUUGCAGAAUAAGCACCGGCUAACUCUGUGCCAGCCGCCGCGGUAA
rnacentral:rRNA from 1 species